CAUAAUAGUGGCCUUGGCAACUUUCAAAGGACAAAAGGUAAAACAGGGCAUGACAACUUUAUUCCCAGAGGGCCAGAGGAUUCUGCUGGGGUCUGUAGCAAAGUCUGUUGAAAGAUGGAGAAUUGACAUUUUGCUGAUUCUCUCGACUGCUUUGACAUCUCACAAGCAGUACAAAUGAUCACUUAUGUAAAGGUUAUUUGAAUAAAGGCUAGGAGAAAGCUGGAAUCUGAAAUCUGCAGAGCAGACUGAGCUUGCACAAUACACAGAAACUAGGCUUAUUCAUAAAGGCUCUUCCAGGGCUUUAAACAAGGCAUCUGAACCAUUCAUGUCUCAGGGAGCUGAGGUGGGAGCAGCCAGGGAGCUGCUGGAAUGGGUGCUCCUGCUGACAGAGAUACAGGGCUCCUGAGGGAUCAUGUGUUGAUUACAAAAUAGCCUAUGAAAUUGUAUCAUAUGAACAUCGUGAGAGUCACAUCAUACUUAGGUGAACAGAUUUCUUAUUACUCCUUCAAAACAGUUUCCCCUACAAUAUCAAGGUCUCACCAAUAUGUUAAAAAAACCCAUAUUUGUAUGUUCCAUGCAAGGAAGCUGAAAAGCUUUGUUCCCGAGUCGUGAUACUCCUUACUUACGAGGAUUUCUUACAUGG